UAACUAGGGAACCCACU
rnacentral:misc_RNA from 1 species